UACGUAGGGUGCGAGCGUUGUCCGGACUUAUUGGGCGUAAAGGGCUCGUAGGCGGUUUGUCGCGUCGGGAGUGAAAUCCACUGGCUUAACUGGUGGCUUGCUUUCGAUACGGGCAGACUGGAGGUAUGCAGGGGAGAACGGAAUUCCUGGUGUAGCGGUGAAAUGCGCAGAUAUCAGGAGGAACACCGGUGGCGAAGGCGGUUCUCUGGGCAUGUCCUGACGCUGAGGAGCGAAAGUGUGGGGAGCGAACAGG
rnacentral:rRNA from 1 species